UUACAUGUACAUGUGAACACUGAGCAUCUAGUAGUCUCUCUAUUGACCCAGUGAAAACACAAGUCUAGUCGCAGAGUAAAAGGGCAGUCGGGACAGGAGAGGGAGGAUUCAGUCGAGACAGGAUUCAGUCAUGGAAAGAGUAAAAGGGCAGGCGAGACAGGAGAGGGAGGAUUCAGUCAUGGAAAGAGUAAAAGGGCAGUCGAGACAGGAGAGGGAGGAUUCAGUCGAGACAGGAUUCAGUCAUGGAAAGAGUAAAAGGGCAGGUGAGACAGGAGAGGGAGGAUUCAGUCAUGGAAAGAGUAAAAGGGCAGUCGAGACAGGAGAGGGAGGAUUCAGUCGAGACAGGAUUCAGUCAUGGAAAGAGUAAAAGGGCAGGCGAGACAGGAGAGGGAGGAUUCAGUCAUGGAAAGAGUAAAAGGGCAGGUGAGACAGGAGAGGGAGGAUUCAGUCAUGGAAAGAGUAAAAGGGCAGUCGAGACAGGAGAGGGAGGAUUCAGUCGAGACAGGAUUCAGUCAUGGAAAGAGUAAAAGGGCAGGCGAGACAGGAGAGGGAGGAUUCAGUCGAGACAGGAUUCAGUCAUGGAAAGAGUAAAAGGGCAGGUGAGACAGGAGAGGGAGGAUUCAGUCAUGGAAAGAGUAAAAGGGCAGUCGAGACAGGAGAGGGAGGAUUCAGUCGAGACAGGAUUCAGUCAUGGAAAGAGUAAAAGGGCAGGCGAGACAGGAGAGGGAGGAUUCAGUCGAGACAGGAUUCAGUCAUGGAAAGAGUAAAAGGGCAUUCGAGACAGGAGAGGGAGGAUUCAGUCGAGACAGGAUUCAGUCAUGGAAAGAGUAAAAGGGCAGGCGAGACAGGAGAGGGAGGAUUCAGUCGAGACAGGAUUCAGUCAUGGAAAGAGUAAAAGGGCAGGUGAGACAGGAGAGGGAGAAUUCAGUCGAGACAGGAGAGGGAGGAUUCAGUCAUGGAAUGAGUAAAAGAGCAGGCGAGACAGGAGAGGGAGGAUUCAGUCGAGACAGGAGAGGGAGGAUUCAGUCGAGACAGGAGAGGGAGGAUUCAGUCAUGGAAAGAGUAAAAGGGCAGGUGAGACAGGAGAGGGAGGAUUCAGUCGAGACAGGAUUCAGUCAUGGAAAGAGUAAAAGGGCAGGCGAGACAGGAGAGGGAGGAUUCAGUCGAGACAGGAGAGGGAGGAUUCAGUCAUGGAAAGAGUAAAAGGGCAGGUGAGACAGGAGAGGGAGGAUUCAGUCAUGGAAAGAGUAAAAGGGCAGGCGAGACAGGAGAGGGAGGAUUCAGUCAUGGAAAGAGUAAAAGGGCAGUCGAGACAGGAGAGGGAGGAUUCAGUCGAGACAGGAGAGGGAGGAUUCAGUCGAGACAGGAGAGGGAGGAUUCAGUCAUGGAAAGAGUAAAAGGGCAGGUGAGAUAGGAGAGGGAGGAUUCAGUCAUGGAAAGAGUAAAAGGGCAGGUGAGACAGGAGAGGGAGGAUUCAGUCGAGACAGGAGAGGGAGGAUUCAGUCGAGACAGGAGAGGGAGGAUUCAGUCAUGGAAAGAGUAAAAGGGCAGGUGAGACAGGAGAGGGAGGAUUCAGUCAUGGAAAGAGUAAAAGGGCAGGUGAGACAGGAGAGGGAGGAUUCAGUCAUGGAAAGAGUAAUAGGGCAGGCGAGACAGGAGAGGGAGGAUUCAGUCAUGGAAAGAGUAAAAGGGCAGGUGAGACAGGAGAGGGAGGAUUCAGUCAUGGAAAGAGUAAAAGGGCAGGUGAGACAGGAGAGGGAGGAUUCAGUCAUGGAAAGAGUAAUAGGGCAGUCGAGACAGGAGAGGGAGGAUUCAGUCAUGGAAAGAGUAAAAGGGCAGGCGAGACAGGAGAGGGAGGAUUCAGUCGAGACAGGAGAGGGAGGAUUCAGUCAUGGAAAGAGUAAAAGGGCAGUCGAGACAGGAGAGGGAGGAUUCAGUCAUGGAAAGAGUAAUAGGGCAGUCGAGACAGGAGAGGGAGGAUUCAGUCAUGGAAAGAGUAAAAGGGCAGGCGAGACAGGAGAGGGAGGAUUCAGUCGAGACAGGAGAGGGAGGAUUCAGUCAUGGAAAGAGUAAAAGGGCAGUCGAGACAGGAGAGGGAGGAUUCAGUCGAGACAGGAUUCAGUCAUGGAAAGAGUAAAAGGGCAGGUGAGACAGGAGAGGGAGGAUUCAGUCAUGGAAAGAGUA